rnacentral:rRNA from 1 species
CAUGCAAGUCGAACGAAACUUAGUGAACCUCGGUUUGCUAAGUUUAGUGGCGCACGGGUGCGUAACGCGUGGGAAUCUACCCCUAGCUGCGGAAUAACUCAGAGAAAUUUGAGCUAAUACCGCAUAAUGUCGCAAGACCAAAGAUUUAUCGGCAAGGGAUGAGCCCGCGUAAGAUUAGCUUGUUGGUGAGGUAAAAGCUCACCAAGGCGACGAUCUUUAGCUGGUCUGAGAGGAUGAUCAGCCACACUGGGACUGAGACACAGCCCAGACUCCUACGGGAGGCAGCAGUGGGGAAUAUUGGACAAUGGGCGCAAGCCUGAUCCAGCAAUGCCGCGUGAGUGAUGAAGGCCCUAGGGUUGUAAAGCUCUUUUACUAGGGAUGAUAAUGACAGUACCUAGAGAAUAAGCUCCGGCUAACUCCGUGCCAGCAGCCGCGGUAAUACGGAGGGAGCUAGCGUUGUUCGGAAUUACUGGGCGUAAAGCGCGCGUAGGCGGCUCGUCAAGUCAGGGGUGAAAGCCCGGGGCUCAACCCCGGAACUGCCUUUGAAACUAGCGAGCUAGAAUCUUGUAGAGGUUAGCGGAAUUCCGAGUGUAGAGGUGA